rnacentral:rRNA from 1 species
UACGUAGGGUCCGAGCGUUGUCCGGAAUUACUGGGCGUAAAGAGCUCGUAGGUGGUUUGUCGCGUUGUUCGUGAAAACUCACAGCUUAACUGUGGGCGUGCGGGCGAUACGGGCAGACUUGAGUACUGCAGGGGAGACUGGAAUUCCUGGUGUAGCGGUGGAAUGCGCAGAUACUCAGGAGGAACACCGGUGGCGAAGGCGGGUCUCUGGGCAGUAACUGACGCUGAGGAGCGAAAGCGUGGGGAGCGAACAGG